rnacentral:SRP_RNA from 1 species
GUGCACGCAGUCAGGCCAGGAAGGAAGCUGCUGCAUGAGGAUCUUUUCG